rnacentral:lncRNA from 1 species
GGGAUUGGGCCUAAGAAUAUAAAACCGGAUCUAACUCAGGGGUUGCUGCACUCCCUCUCACUCAUUCACUAGCUGCUCUUGAUACCAGAAUGAGUUGGGGCAUGUGGGGCAUCAGAAUGGCUGUGGUGCUGCUGAGUUUGGGACAGGCUCCGCUCUGCACCUUCCAGGUUCAAAAUAAUAUCACCUCGAUGCCAGAUUUCAAUAUCUCUCAGGCUAAGGGGACCUGGAAUUUCAUUAGCUUGGCAACAAGUGAGAAACUGUCAGACCAGGACAAGGAAGAGGUCAAAAUGUCUUUGGCAGUAUUUUCACCUUUUGCCAAUGGGAGUGUGAACCUUCAGACUACCUUCGCUUUGUCAGAAGGUAACUGUACAGAAGUAAAUACUUUAUAUACAAAAGAAGGAAACUCUGAACAAUAUCAAAGUGAUGAUGGAAACCCUUGCUACUUUCAAGUGAUAGAUACUGACUAUGAAAACUAUGGCAUUAUUUACAUAGGAAACAGAGAAAACAAGGAAGACUUUGAAGUUAAACUCUAUGGCAGGAAUAAAGUAGUAUCUGAUAAAGGCUUGAAGAAAUUCCAAGAAGUCAUAAAAUCCGUUGGAAUUCCAGGGGAGAAUGUGAUUACGCUAUCUGGAACAAUAGCCUGUAGUUAAAGAAAUCUGAAUGCAACAGAGGGAGCACAAUACAGACCCAUGUCCUCUUGUGUCUGGAAAAGGGUAGCUGCCAGAUGGCCUUCAACAUUCCCCUUUCCCAUCCAUGGGAAGAUGGUGUUCUCUUUGCUUCAAGGGCUGCAGCUUUCCAUGCUGGAUAUGAUUGGGAUGCCCCAACCUGUACCUUUGCUUAGGGGAUUUCUGAGUACUUGGGGUAUUGCUCAUCUGGAAUCCAAAGUAAUUGUUUUCCCUAUUCUUCAUUUAGCAAAUGCCUAACUAAGCUAGGUGAUUAAUAAAUUAAUAAAUACUAACUUGUUUUCUAAACA